AAAAUAAAAAAUUUGCAAAUGUGUUAGGAAUUAAGCGCUCAAUACUAUUAGGCUUCAAUUCCUCAAUUUUGAAAGGUGAGUAAAAAGUUACUUAUUAAAAUAUUAUGUUUGAUUUUAUAAUUGUUAGAUUAAAUUCAAUUUUGUUGAUAUGGUUAAGUAUAAUAAACUAGGAAAUUGAGUAAAAUGAAAGAAAAAUUAGUUUUAGUAAUUAAAGAGACUUCAGAAAUCGCCUAAACGUAAAAUAAUUAAGUUUUGGUGUCGCCUAUUUAAUUAUUGAAAUUAUUUAAAAUAGUUAAUUGUUGAUUUAAAAAUUUUAUUAUAUUUCAGGCUGCGAUACGGAUAUCGGGACAAUUUACCGAUCGAGUUAAUUUCGGCACAUGUAGUUCUGUGAGUGGAAAAAUAUAAAUAUUUUUAAAGUAUUUAUAAAUUAAGUAAAUUAGUAAAGUGUGUGUAAUUAUGUGUUCAAUUUUAUGAUUGUUACAUAAAUCUCUUUUAUUAUGAUACAUGUGAAUCUCAAAUAUUAUUUAUGGCACAUUUGUGACUUGGUAUGUAAGAUUUGCAAUAUUGAGAUUUGUUUGGUAUGUGAGACAUGUAAUAUUGAGAUCGGCCAGAAAACUACCCAUGAUUAAAUACUUCUUUUAGUUCACAGAGGGGCCUUGGCCGUAUUCUAUCCUACACAGAGAGGUCUUGACCUGAUAUUAGUUUUGAUCGUGUACAUAUAGUUCACAUAGGGGCCUUAACCGUGUUCUAGAAUUGAUUAUCAGCGGUCUUUGAGACCGACUUUCAUUCACUGAGGGGGCCAAAGGCCCGUGGCGAAAGUUUUUAGCCCGAGGGGCGAAUUAUAUAUUUCAGUUAGAGGGUACAUUUUUGGUGAAUUUUUUAGCACGUUUGAUGUGAUGAGAUUAUAGUAUGGUUAUUAGCUGAUGUUCAAAUCAUCAUUUUAAGAUGAUAUUUUAUGACCUUAUGUGAAUAUUUCACUUUUUGGCUAUAAUUACAUGAUGGUACCUUGUGAAUUAUCAAAUGAUAUGAAUUUGAUUUUCAAUAAGAAUGUAUAAAUGAAAAAAGUAUAUUUGUUUUGAGCUUCUCCACUCACUAAGCUAUCAACUCAUAUUUUUUUCCACGUGUUUUCUUAUCAGGCGGCAGUUGAGAAUCUAGGUAUAUUUUGGAGUUGAGCCUUGAUUUUGGAAUCAGAGCCACAUGACAGAGUUUGUUAGUAUGACUCACUUCAUA
rnacentral:lncRNA from 1 species